AGCGAACGCUGGCGGCAGGCUUAACACAUGCAAGUCGAGCGGGCGUAGCAAUACGUCAGCGGCAGACGGGUGAGUAACGCGUGGGAACGUGCCCUUUGGUUCGGAACAACACAGGGAAGCUUGUGCUAAUACCGGAUAAGCCCUUACGGGGAAAGAUUUAUCGCCGAAGGAUCGGCCCGCGUCUGAGUAGCUUGUUGGUGAGGUAACGGCCCACCAAGGCUACGAUCAGUAGCUGGUCUGAGAGGAGGAUCAGCAACACUGGGACUGAGACACGGCCCAGACUCCUACGGGAGGCAGCAGUGGGGAAUAUUGGACAAUGGGGGCAACCCUGAUCCAGCCAUGCCGCGUGAGUGAUGAAGGCCCUAGGGUUGUAAAGCUCUUUCGGCGGGGAAGAUAAUGACGGUACCCGCAUAAGAAGCCCCGGCUAACUUCGUGCCAGCCGCCACGGUAA
rnacentral:rRNA from 1 species